GGCGCCAUAGUGUAGUGGUUAUCACUCGAGAUUCUGAUGCUUGCGACAUUUCUCGUAACCCCAGUUCGAACCUGGGUGGCGCCU